rnacentral:rRNA from 1 species
UACGGAGGGUGCGAGCGUUGUCCGGAAUCAUUGGGCGUAAAGGGCGCGUAGGUGGCCCGGUCAGCGUGCGGUGAAAGCUCGGGGCUCAACCCCGAGUCGGCCGUGCGAACUGCUGGGCUUGAGCACUGUAGAGGCAGGCGGAAUUCCGGGUGUAGCGGUGGAAUGCGUAGAGAUCCGGAAGAACACCGGUGGCGAAGGCGGCCUGCUGGGCAGUGGCUGACACUGAGGCGCGACAGCGUGGGGAGCAAAUGGG